UACGGGGAGAACGAGCGUUAUUCGUCAUUACUGGGCGUAAAGGGUUUGUAGGUGGUUUAUAAAAUUUAUUAUAAAAUCCCUUACAUCUCAAAUGAGGAAAUAUAAUAAAAACUAAUAACACUUGAGUAAUUUAUAGGACAAUAGUACUCUUGAUGGAGGGGCAACAUCCUUAGAUAUUGAUGGGGACUACCGCUUGGCGAAGGCGAUUGUCUGAUAAUUUACUGACACUGAGGGACGAAAGCAUGGGGAGCAAACGGA
rnacentral:rRNA from 1 species